UAUCUGUGAGGUUCAUAAUUUAUCCGCAUGUUCUCGUUUCAUCAUGUAUCUGCAGGUGUUUUCAUGCUCCAUUGAGUGAAGUUUAUUUAUGAAAUGAAAGUGGCUUUAAAAUAAAAAAUGUAAUUGUGAGAGUCAAAAUAAAGACAAAAAUGUCACAAUUAUUUCUAAACAUCCAGUUUGCUGCAGCAGUGUUUGAUGAGGGAAAUUUAAUUUCUUAACAUUUCUGCUCUGCUGUCAGUGUCUGAGACACAUUUGAGAGGAAACGCUUUGAAUUUGUGUCCCACCCCUGUGAUUGGAGCUCAAUAUCAGAGCGUCUGUCAGUCCGACUGUAAAUCCAACAUCACUGUCCUUCAGUUUCACUCAUUCCCAGUAAAGAUGAGGACACACGCUCUGAUCAUCUGCUCUCUGCUGCUGCUGCUCAACGAGUGUAGAGGACAGAUCACCGUCACUCAGAGUCCCUCAAUGACAGCAGCUCAACCAGGACAAACUGUGAACAUCAACUGUAAAACCAGCAGUAAUGUGUACAGAUGGAGUGGUGGGGAGGAAGGUUUAGCCUGGUACUUACAGAAAUCUGGAGAAGCUCCUAAACUCCUGAUUUAUUAUGCAAACCGCCGUCAGUCAGGAACUCCAACUAGAUUCAGUGGCAGUGGAUCUAACAGUGAUUUCACUCUGACCAUCAGUGGAGUCCAGACUGAAGAUGCUGGACAUUAUUACUGUCAGAGUGUACACUGCAUAACUAAUUGGCUUGGUGUUUGUAAUGGUGAUUAUGUGUUCACACAGUGAUAAAGAGUCGUACAAAAACCUCCGUCAGUCAGAGUCACAGUGACUGAACUGAUACUGCAGCUGCUCACACACUUUCACACACUUUCACACACUACUGACACACAGAGGACAAACACAGGAACUACACAUGUGCUCAAAACUGACUUAUGACUGAAAUCAGCUCUAUUAGACUGUGAUCUGUCCUGUGACAGACGGGUUUGACUCAGAUAUGCUCAGAUUCAGAGAAAACAGAGUGUGUAAAUUGAUAUGAAAUCAAACUAACAAUAAUGGUGUCAUAUGUUGUUUUGUUUUUGUACAUUAAACUACACUAAAGUCAUGGUGUAUCAGUAACAUGCAGAUGUUUUUCAAGCAGCUCCUUCAUCUAAAGCUGUUUAUAAAUGUAUUACUCAUAACUCAUUUCUCAUGAGCAGAAGUGAAAGUGUUCCAGUUGAGAGCGUUGAACCAAUCAAAGAGUGAAACUGUGAGUUUGAGGUGAA